GUUCAAGACUCAGAAAUCCCUAGUCCUCCAUCAAAGAGAAUACAGGUUUCAACUACAUUGGGUUUCUGGACACUGGCAAGAUGUGUCUUUCUUAGAAGAGCUGCAUUUUUCUUCCCUUACCACUGGCUACAGUUGAGAGAUGUCUGUCGUUUAUAAGACUUUACUGAUGUUUGCAGGAAGUUGGUCAACAAACACAUCCUGAUGUCUCCUCACUAAAUCCCUC
rnacentral:lncRNA from 13 species